GGGGAUUUGGCUCAGUGGUAGAGCGCUUGCCUAGCAAGCGCAAGAGCGCAAGGCCCUGGGUUCGGUCCCCAGCUCCG
rfam:Rattus norvegicus chromosome 20, whole genome shotgun sequence.